AGACACUUUCCUCCUUUUCGCCUGAGAGCCAUUAUCAGUAGCCACCUGUUCAGCUGUGCCUUUUUGCUCUA